rnacentral:rRNA from 1 species
UCUGCGGUGUGUACKAUACGCUUUCUUUGAGUCGAGUUGUUUGGGAAUACAGCUCAAAGUAGGUGGUAAAUUCCAUCUAAAGCUAAAUAUUGGUGCGAGACCGAUAGCGAACAAGUACCGUGAGGGAAAGAUGAAAAGAACUUUGAAAAGAGAGUUAAAGAGUACCUGAAACUGUUGAAAGGGAACCGUAUCGUUUCCAGUGUUUUAUCCUAUGCAUAUUUCAUUCGUGGAGUAAUUUACGGGUGCCCUGUGCAUGGGUGUGACGUCAGGGUCAGUUUGUAUGCUGCGGGAGAUGGUCAGUGAGGAGGUGCGUCACUUCGGUGAAAGUUAUAUCUCGCUGUCUAGUAGCCGUGGUUGAGACUGAGGUGCCUACAACAUGCCUUAAGGUUCUAUGUUGUCUCGUGUUGGUGACUGCUUUGAUAGCUUGCUAUGUCUGUGGUUUAUUAAUGCGAUUGAUGAUGUGGAUAACUUUUGCUGUUCGGGACUCUGGCGAAAUGGAGCGAUACGACCCGUCUUGAAACACGGACCAAGGAGUCUAACAUGUGUGCAAGUAUUAGGGCGUGGAAACCCAAAUGCGUAAUGAAAGUAAAUGCUGCUUAUGCAGCUGUGGUAGGAAAGGGCUGUCAAGGUCCUGGCACUAUCGACCGAUCAUGAGCCUACGGGCAAAAGAUUUGAGUAUGAGCAUAUAUGUUGGUACCCGAAAGAUGGUGAACUAUGCCUGAAUAGGGUGAAGCCAGGGGAAACUCUGGUGGAAGCUCGUAGCGAUUCUGACGUGCAAAUCGAUCGUCAAAUUUGGGUAUAGGGGCGAAAGACUAAUCGAACCAUCUAGUAGCUGGUUCCCUCCGAAAUUUCCCUCAGGAUAGCAGCAACUUUUUACGAUAG